GACGAACGCUGGCGGCGCGCUUAACACAUGCAAGUCGAGCGAAGCGGCGGACGGGUGAGUAACACGUGAGUAACCUGCCUUAGACCUUGGGAUAGCCUCGGGAAACCGGCAUUAAUACCAAAUGGUCUAAGAUGGCCUCGCGUCCCAUUAGCUCGUUGGUGAGGUAACGGCCCACCAAGGCGACGAUGGGUAGCCGGCCGGAGAGGGUGAACGGCCAAAUUGGAACUGAGCAACGGUCCAAACUCUACGGGAGGCAGCAGUGGUGAAUAUUGCACAAUGGAGGGAACUCUGAUGCAGCGACGCCGCGAGAACGAAGAAGGCUUUCGAGUCGUAAAGUUCUUUUAUAUGGGAAGCGGUACCAUAAGAGAAAGCCCCAGCUGACUACGUGCCAGCAGCCGCGGUAAUAC
rnacentral:rRNA from 1 species